GAUCCUGGCUCAGGACGAACGCUGGCGGCGCGCCUAACACAUGCAAGUCGAACGGGACUAUUUGGCCGGAAGUUUUCGGAUGGAAGGCCGGAUAGUUUAGUGGCGGACGGGUGAGUAACACGUGAGCAACCUGCCUCUGAGAGGGGAAUAACGGCUGGAAACGGUCGCUAAUACCGCAUAACGUAUCGGGGGGACAUCCCCCUGGUACCAAAGAUUUUAUCGCUCAGAGAUGGGCUCGCGUCCGAUUAGGUAGUUGGUGGGAU
rnacentral:rRNA from 1 species